ensembl:lncRNA LINC01128 long intergenic non-protein coding RNA 1128
AAAGCGCGUGUCUGCGUCGGGUUCUGUUGGAGUGCGUUCGGUGCGCCGUGGGUCCGCGCUGCUUCCACCCAACUUCCUGUUAGUUUCUCUCCUGUCACAAUGGCAUGAUCUCGGCUCACUGCGACCUCUGCUUCCUGGGUUCAAGGAUUCUCCUGCCUCAGCCUCCCAAGUAGCUGGGAUUACAGUUUCCAUCAUUAUCUUCUAUGGAGUUCUUCAUUCCCACAUCUGUGGACCUUAAAAUCCUACCGUUGAGUGCCUGCCUUGGAUCAGCAGUCAGUUCGUUACCUUGGUUCUCAGACGAUGCUUGCAACAACGCCAUGCGAUUCGCCCACUCUUGGGUUACAUUAGUUAUACACUCUGGAGGUGACUUGACCUGUCAUUGUGAACAAUUAUUGCUCUUGGACGACCCAGGACAUAGGCCAGCCAGUACGUACCCCAGUGUGUUGGAGAAUCGCGCUCGGCUUCUUCCUCUGUGCUGAGUCAUGAAAGUUGCCGGAGCAGGUGCAGUUACACAACCUCCAGGAUGUCUGUUUUCUCCCCAGACAUCUAGGCUUGCUGUCAAGGCUUCUGAUCAACAUGAGAUGACCGCCGUGUGGUAAACUGAUGAACCCUGACCCUGAUCAACAUGAGAUGACCGCCGUGUGGUAAACUGAUGAACCCCGACCCUGAUGAACGUGAGAUGACCGCCGUGUGGUAAACUGAUGAACCCCGACCCUGAUGAACGUGAGAUGACCGCCGUGUGGUAAACUGAUGAACCCCGACCCUGAUGAACGUGAGAUGACCGCCGUGUGGUAAACUGAUGAACCCCGACCCUGAUGAACGUGAGAUGACCGCCGUGUGGUAAACUGAUGAACCCCGACCCUGAUCAACGUGAGAUGACCGCCGUGUGGUAAACUGAUGAACCCCGACCCUGAUGAACAUGAGAUGACCGCCGUGUGGUAAACUGAUGAACCCCGACCCUGAUCAACAUGAGAUGACCGCCGUGUGGUAAACUGAUGAACCCCGACCCUGAUCAACAUGAGAUGACUGCCGUGUGGUAAACUGAUGAACCCUGACCCAUUAGGCUUUGGCUACAGAAUGUGGAAAUAAGUUGUGUUACUACAUGUGUGUAAUCCUAGGGUGCAGGACACCGGCCGGGAGGUUCCAUAGAGUGAUGGGUUCUGCAGGUAACUCAUCCUCUAGUCCUCUGUAAGCUCCUAGAAGGAAGAAAUUAUGUCCUUUAGACUAAUAAAAUUCCUCCAAACCAAAUACAGCACCUACUGUGAAGACACAAAGAUACUUUUAGAAUAGUAAAAACUUUAUCCAUUGAGAAAUUCCUUAAUGAAACAGUAUCCAAGAAGUCAUUUGCCAGCAGAUUUCUUAGAGGUGCGAUAAAGAAGAGGACAUUGCCAGUCGUCACAGCAGCUGCAAUAGCUCCUCUCUAUUGUUAAACAGUGGGAUAUCUUGUGCAGGUUUUCAGUUGACAAUCAAUUUUAAAGAUUAGUUUCGGUCCCCAUCAAUCAAUUAUUUAUUAACCCAUCAAUAAAAAUUUAAAUGCUCUGUGAGGUACAAUAGCUAUUAAAA